CAUUGGGGGAAGCAUGAACCCUAGCGUUAAGAGUGAAGCCAACCUCUUCAUUGCACCAAAAUCGAGAAACAAUAAAGAGAUCACUUGGAGGAAGGACAGCAUUGGAAACAAAGAAUCCUGGAAGUUUUACUCGGUAGGAGAUAUCUUUGAAAAUGGGGCUUCUUUCGUGGAAACAGGUGCCGGCAGAGCAAAGCCAAACUAUAACGGAGAACAAACUUUCACAGUUGUUAAUGCCAAAACUGUCCGCUCAUUGACAAGGUCAUCUGGUGCUUUAAAAUGCAUCAAAAGAUCCAGAUGCUAAUUAAGUCUUACGCCCAUCUUGCGAUGUGGAGAUAUGAUAUGCAUACAUAUAUUUAUAAACAUGCCUGCACCUCAACAGAAAUAAUUAGGCUACACUCUCUGUUAUAUUACUAAAUUCUACUUUUAA